CACGUAGGGGGCAAGCGUUGUCCGGAAUCAUUGGGCGUAAAGAGCUCGUAGGCGGUUUGUCACGUCGGCUGUGAAAACCCGAGGCUCAACCUCGGGCCUGCAGUCGAUACGGGCAGACUAGAGUGCUGUAGGGGAGACUGGAAUUCCUGGUGUAGCGGUGAAAUGCGCAGAUAUCAGGAGGAACACCGGUGGCGAAGGCGGGUCUCUGGGCAGUAACUGACGCUGAGGAGCGAAAGCGUGGGGAGCAAACAGG
rnacentral:rRNA from 1 species